rnacentral:lncRNA from 1 species
GUGUUUAACAUUCUUUCUCAAGAUUUAUCUGGACCAGAGUCGAAUGGAAGACGCCUAGUCACCCCGCUGCAGACAGGCAGGUCUGCCCACGCCCUGCCGAGGUCCCCAGUCGCGCAGAAUAUGCCGAAUCAUCCCGCUGCACACAGGAAGGUCUGUGCACGCCCUACCGAGGUCCUGAGUCCCGCGGAAGACACCGAAUCAGCCCGCUGCAGACAGGCAGCCACCUGGUUCCACAUUACAAAGACGCAGAGGACACCAGACCACCAGACCAAGGUAUUCAGGGGUCUGAUCAGCCCCCUAGUGCUGGAAUAGGGACUUGAGACCUGGAGGGAAAGACAUUGGAGCAGGAUGGAG